CACCAAAAAGAUCUCAAUUCAGAGGUAACUUUUACUUCAACUUAUAGACCCAAAGAGUGUGAUAUCAAAAGGAUUCACAACAGACUCACAUUUCAUGCUUUAACUAAUUGGUAAAAUGUUCUAUACAUGGCUUUUCAACUUGGAUACCAAAGAUAAUUCGAUAAUUUUUGCUAAAAAUGGGAAACGAACCACAACUAGUUGAAGUGGAAUCACAUGAACCUAAAAAGCCAGAGAAACAUAUUAUAGGUAGCUAACAGACGAUAAUACAUUAUCCAUAUCCAGUGCCAAAAUAUAUAAGUAGCUAACAGAAGACAUACAUCCUGUAAACUGGAUCCUAGUCUAUAGAUGCAAACACACAUUUGCUGCUUGAAAAAACAGCCACGAUGACAUCCGGCCUCUAAUAGUGGUUCAUUUGUAAUAACCACUACGGUAGAUAUUUUCAUAAGGAUUGCUACUCGAAAGCAGACAUGUUUCAGAUUAGAAAUGCACCCCCUUAAUCUUGAAAGAACAAAAAAGUUUGUGAUGAUAAAGAAUAAAAACUGAAUGAGAGGUAAUUGAGAAAGAACUAUAAUUAGGAGGCUGCACACAGUUCAGGGAUUCUAAAUGCGCAUAUAUCCCAAGGUUCAGGUACAAUAAAGUUCGGUGCAUCAUGGCUGUGAUAUGUUACAGAACUGAUCUGCAAGUGGCUUUGCUGAACCAUUUAAAGGUACUAAUAUUAUUUAACUAAAACUUCAUGUUCCAGAUGGAAAUUUUAAAUGAACAUUUGCAACUGACAUACGCAACAAACAGGAAGCCCAAACAAAGUUUAUCUCACAGUCAAGAUGCACAUAUUGCUUUUCUAAUUCUCUACUUGUUUGAUGACGCCGUGCCUUCCUUCCUGGGCUGUGGUUUAGGGGCAGCACCCUACAUUAAUAACAUGCCAGCAAAUAUUAGAUUGACUGAUACAAAUAAUAUACAAGCAACCUCAGUACAAUGCCAAUAUAUUUCCUCUCUUGUACUGUUUGGGGAGUGCCCAGGAGGAGGUAAGAGCACCAUACUCUGAGCAACAUCAAUUUUAGCAAAUUAGGCAGCAGAACACCAGUUAUAUGGGUACACAUUCUGGUAACUUUGUUCCUUUAGUAAGUGACAUCCUGAUGACUGUUUAAACUAUCAAUAUCCAAUUAUGAUGUAAAGGCUAACAAAAUGUUUAAAGUAAUUUCAAUAGCUUAAUGAAUAUCGAUUUGUUUCCAAUUAUUAUCGCUCACAUGAACAAAAAUUUGAAUGAAAGCUGGUUCAUUUCACGCUGGGUUCAGACCUACGGUUUGAUAUGUAGAUUUAUUUUUUCACCAAUCAUUACAUAAAUACUGACAAGGUUAGGUACCAUCCCAAAUUCUGUCAUGAUUCAGAACAUUAAAAUUAGAACAAUCGUUAUUGUAAAUGCUCUACAGCUCUAAUCGCUUAUCCUACUGUGUUAAUUUAUCAUAGACUCCAUAAAGUUUGACAAACCAUAUACAUUUCCCAAAUUACAAUGAAAUUCUAAGCCUGUUCCCUAUAAAAUUAUAGAACUCUGUUUGAAUCUUGAAAAGAUACACAAAAAUGAAAGGAAACUGAAAAGUAAUGUAAGAUAAAACUCAAUAAACACAAAUUCAACUAUAUAUUGCUGCCUUACGAAACUCCAAAGCCUAACUUAGCAACCCAGUACUUAAAAUUAAAAUAUUACUAUUGAGUUACAGUCUUACAGACAAGAUGAGUGAAUGCCACAAGUCUACUGUGGAAAAUGACAAUAAUAAUAACACAAUAUAUAGAUUAUAGAAGGGAAAAUUAUGAAACAUGCCAUAUCAAAUCGAAAUCGGUAAAAGAAAUCUAGGGUUUGAAAUUAAGAGAGAAAGAUAUCGUACAGUUUUGCGAAAGAUGAAGUCGCAAACGAUCACAGUGCCGACGAUUCCGCCCAAUAUUAAAGGUGGAGCUGUGAGCAGACUCCAUUUCCUGUAUAUCAUAUUCUCUUCGCUUCGCUUUUCUUCUCCUCCCUCCUUCCCUCUUCCCUCUUCCCUCUUCCCCUUCUAAAACUUGAAUUAAAUUAAAUCGAAUUAAAUUAAAUUAUGA
rnacentral:lncRNA from 1 species